rnacentral:rRNA from 1 species
UAGGGAAUCUUUCGGCAAUGGGGGCAACCCUGACAGAGCAACGCCGCGUGAGUGAAGAAGGUUUUCGGAUCGUAAAGCUCUGUUGUAAGAGAAGAACGAGUGUGAGAGUGGAAAGUUCACACUGUGACGGUAACUUACCAGAAAGGGACGGCUAACUACGUGCCAGCAGCCGCGGUAAUACGUAGGUCCCGAGCGUUAUCCGGAUUUAUUGGGCGUAAAGCGAGCGCAGGCGGUUAGAUAAGUCUGAAGUUAAAGGCUGUGGCUUAACCAUAGUACGCUUUGGAAACUGUUUAACUUGAGUGCAGAAGGGGAGAGUGGAAUUCCAUGUGUAGCGGUGAAAUGCGUAGAUAUAUGGAGGAACACCGGUGGCGAAAGCGGCUCUCUGGUCUGUAACUGACGCUGAGGCUCGAAAGCGUGGGGAGCAAACAGGAUUAGAUACCCUGGUAGUCCACGCCGUAAACGAUGAGUGCUAGGUGUUGGGUCCUUUCCGGGACUCAGUGCCGCAGCUAACGCAUUAAGCACUCCGCCUGGGGAGUACGACCGCAAGGUUG